GUGCUCACUUCAGCAGUACAUAUACUAAAAUUGGAACAAUACAGAGAAGAUUAGAAUGGACCCUCUGCAAGGAUAACAUGCAAAUUUAUAAAUCAUAUAAAUUCAUA
rnacentral:snRNA from 1 species